AUACGGAAUCCAAAACACAAAUGCUUGCCGGUGAAUUACAAUGGAAAAGGCAGCAACAUCUAAAACAAAGGAGUUACGGAAUCGAGGCUCUGGAAAAAGCUGUGUCCGAAGCACGACAAACAGGCAACAUCCGGAAAUCUUAAUAAACGCAGAUGCUGUGCAAAAAACUUCCAACGGAAAUUAAAUGUCUGGUUACAAUUCAGUUGUGUCGGAAGUUAGUCCAGAUUCCACAGAAGAACCUCAAAACUUCUUUCUGGCGUUA